rnacentral:rRNA from 1 species
GAUGAACGCUGGCGGCGUGCCUAAUACAUGCAAGUCGAGCGAACAGACGAGGAGCUUGCUCCUCUGAUGUUAGCGGCGGACGGGUGAGUAACACGUGGAUAACCUACCUAUAAGACUGGGAUAACUUCGGGAAACCGGAGCUAAUACCGGAUAACAUGUUGAACCGAAUGGUUCAACAGUGAAAGACGGUCUUGCUGUCACUUAUAGAUGGAUCCGCGCCGCAUUAGCUAGUUGGUAAGGUAACGGCUUACCAAGGCAACGAUGCGUAGCCGACCUGAGAGGGUGAUCGGCCACACUGGAACUGAGACACGGUCCAGACUCCUACGGGAGGCAGCAGUAGGGAAUCUUCCGCAAUGGGCGAAAGCCUGACGGAGCAACGCCGCGUGAGUGAAGAAGGUCUUCGGAUCGUAAAACUCUGUUAUUAGGGAAGAACAAAUGUGUAAGUAACUAUGCACGUCUUGACGGUACCUAAUCAGAAAGCCACGGCUAACUACGU